rnacentral:rRNA from 1 species
CCAAUAGCGUAUAUUAAAGUUGUUGCAGUUAAAAAGCUCGUAGUUGAAUUUCAGGCCUGGCUGGACGGUCCGCCCUUCGGGUGAGUACUGUCUGUGGUCGGGUCCUACCUUCUGGCGAAGCGUCAUGGCCUUAACCGGCCGUGGCGGGGAACCAGGACUUUUACUGUGAAAAAAUUAGAGUGUUCAAAGCAGGCAAUCGCUUGGAUACAUUAGCAUGGAAUAAUGGAAUAGGACAAUGGUUCUAUUUGUUGGUUUCUAGGACCGUUGUAAUGAUUAAUAGGGAUAGUUGGGGGCAUUAGUAUUCAAUUGUCAGAGGUAAAAUUCUUGGAUUUAUUGAAGACUAACUACUGCGAAAGCAUUUGCCAAGGAUGUUUUCAUUAAUCAAGAACGAAAGUUAGGGGAUCGAAGACGAUCAGAUACCGUCGUAGUCUUAACCAUAAACUAUGCCGACUAGGGAUCGGAUGAUGUUAAUUUUUUAAUGACUCAUUCGGCGCCUUACG